AAGAUGGCUGCCAGGUGCGGUGGCUAAGCCUGGGGACAUAUGAAGCCGGUGCCGACCAUCAGGGCCGAGUUGUGACGAGAGAGCAUGUCGAUGUUAAGAUAUUAAGCCGAGUUGGUCCGGUGGCCAUGGAUGAAGUGCUGGCUGUCCAGAGUCGGGACCCGGGGUGGACCGCUCGCCUGUGCAUCGGCUGGGAACAUCUCUACGCUGCUGACCCGUCUCCGCUCGGGAUGGUGUCCUGCUGGCCCCACUAUGGACUGGACUCUUACUAUUAUGUUGGAUCCACUAUGGACUGGACUCUCACAAUAUUAUGUCAGACCCACUCGACAUCCAUUGCUUUCGGUCUCCCCUAGAGGGGGGGGGGGUUACCCACAUAUGCGGUCCUCUCCAAGGUUUCUCAUAGUCAUUCACAUCGACGUCCCACUGGGGUGAGUUUUUCCUUGCCCGUAUGUGGGCUUUGUACCGAGGAUGUCGUUGUGGCUUGUGCAGCCCUUUGAGACACUUGUGAUUUAGGGCUAUAUAAAUAAAGAUUGAUUGAUUGAUUGAUGUAUGUAUGUAUGUCUCAAGAGGGUAACAAAUAUGUGUGUGUGUUUUCAACUCUUUUUUUGUUGUUGUUCUGUAAAGCACUUUGUGUUGCCACGAGCCUUUGCAAGAAAAGUGCUGUAUGAAUAAAGUUUGACUGAUUGAGUAAAAAGCUAAAGAAAUGCACCCAAGUUGUUUACAAAAGCGAUAAUAACAACAAUACAACAUCUUUAAUAAAAAUUAAGUGAAUAAACAAAUAACAUCAUCUAAUAUUAAUGUGAUUAGGGACAGUGGGGAAGUGUGUGUUUGCUAUAGUUGUGUGUGUGUGUGUGUGUGUUUUCAACUCUUCUUUCUUUUUUUGUUGUUCUGUAAAGCACUUUGUGUUGCCAGGAGGCUGUGCAUGAAAAGUGCUGUACAUUUUGACUGAUUGACUUGUCCAGGGUGUACCCCGCCUUCCGCCCGAAUGCAGCUGAGAUAGGCUCCAGCGACCCCCCGCGACCUCGAAAGGGACAAGCGGUAGAAAAUGGAUGGAUGGAUGAAUGAUUAAAAAGCUAAACAAAUGCA